GUACGAAUGGGUCCACUUACUGAAGGCGUAAUUGGAUGAUCAAUUCUCAGCAGGAAGCAGACACCACACUGGCUGCCUGACCAAAGGUCAUCAUGCGGCCUUCUCGGACGGACAGCCGUCGUUGGAUUCAGGACCUGCCCUAACCGGCUUGUCUCUUCAGACAAAUUGGGCUUUGCUUCCCUAAUUCUCUGAGAAACUGAAGAACAAACACCACCUGCAUCUCGACACCCGGGACCAAGAGAAAGUGCCGACAGCGAUCUCUGAUGCUGACCGCCCCUCUGGCUCCGAUGUCUGCCGUGAGAAUCUCCGUGUGGGCUCCCUCCGGUGCAGAGCAACCCCCUGGGACGGCCCCCAGCCUUGACAUCAACUGCCUGCCCAUCCGACUUCCCGAGGUUGUGCUAGGCUGAGCCCGGCUCCACCACAAUACUGCCCCCCCGCCCGCUGUCCAAAUAGAAGGCUGUCCAGAAAGGCAAAACCCCCACAAGACCCCAUCCCACACUGUC